rnacentral:lncRNA from 1 species
CAGAUGGUGAGCUCCUACUCCUAGGCCACAUCUACCUUAGCAGAGGAGAGCAUUCUGUACAGCCUUGGGGCGAGUGGGAGAGAUACUCAGGAGUCAGCAGAGCUUGACCACAGAAGGGAGAGGAAACAGAAGAAUGGCCCAGAACAGGAGGCAGUCUGCUGAGCUCGCUACAGCCAGAGAACCUCACCAGACACAGAGCACAGUCUCAUCUUCCUGCCUGGAGUCGGCCAGCACCAGGAGCAACCCUCAGGCCUUCCUAGCUCUCCAGCCUCCUGCUCCCUCUCUACCUCAGCUCCAGCACAGAUUUCCUCACCCCUGGAGUUCCUUCUUCUUCCUCCAUUUCCACUUGCUCUACCCCUG